AACAUAUCCUUUAAUUUCUGCCAUGCUAUACGGGAUGCUCACCACAUCAUUCAUUCAAGUAGGUUGUUUAGCAUAAAAAUCCACCAUUUCUUUGCCCUCUACACCCCUAUGAGCUGGAACCCACAUAAGCCUAACAACAUAAUCAGUUUUAUGUAAUCUGAACAAACAUUCAUAUAUUUCAUAUAAAAUAUCCCUUCUUGUAGCUGAUGACAUCGUACUGAUUGACGUUAAUGCUGACAUUGAAUCUGAACAAAUAAUAAAAUUCCCAAUUCUAUUUGCUCUAUCCACUGUAAACUGAAAUGGCUAACAUUUCCACUGUAUAAAUUGACAAACCAUUGGGCGUUCUACUCCUAUUAUAUAUAUCUAAACUUGGAACCUGUUACGAUCCAGGCUGUCUAGGGGGCCUGGGGUAACAAUUGAGGACGCAUGUUCUCGUGUUAAAAGUAACAAAACAACAUUUAUUUACAUAAAUAUAAACGCAAAACACAGAUUAAUAAGACACAUCAGCAACGCAAAACGAGUAACAACUAAACUCUCAUAUUAACCAAAUUAAUACCAACUACAAAAGACCAUCGCAUAAUUUCCUAAUUUCCGAGUGACGUCUUAUUUAAAACAAGCGAAGGGGUAAAGUUUCCUUUACCCCUAAAAAGGCUAACAGUUAAACACAGAGAGUUUCCUAUGCUCCCACCAAAGUUGUCACAUUAUACUUUAACUUAACAAAACCAAAAGCUGCUGAGGAGACAGCACACCUGAGAGAACCUGCCUGGCCUGCUGCUCCCUGAACUGAGGGCUGGCUGACUUUUAUGCUGCUGGCAGAGCUGAUCAUCAGGAUCAGCUGGGAGAGUCUAACUGGGAGGCAAGAUUGGAGCCAGGUGCUGCAUCUCCUCUCUCUCACACACACACACACACACACAGGGAAAAUAAACCCAAAUGGCCCUGGGCUGUAACAGAACCCAAAAUGAAAACCCAGUUUAACCCUUAUUCAACUCCUUUGAAUCUUCAGUAUAAAUCGGAAGGAAAAACAUAUCAUUGAUCAUUUCACUCAAGGUGUUUGCGGAAGUGACUUCUGCUUGCCUCGUGACCACGGACGGAACCAUUUUGCCGAGAUAGAAAACAACUCGCUCAAAACCAACAAAACAUUUAAACACAUUCUCUAGCAAUAAAAUUCUAAUUUUAAUUUAUUCUUUUGUGGUAUUAAAAUCUACGGUUAAAUAUAUAUAUUUGGAAUUCUUCUGAUUAAACAUUCACUAAGCAGAUAAUAACCCCCCAGAGAAAACACGUUAGUGGUUAGCUCCACAUUUGUCCGAAAGUAAACCACAAAACGCUCUUAUGUGGUUGAUAACACUCAUUUCCUUUGGUGACACAUGCCUUUUCUAUUUAAACAACGUCUAAACAUAUUUGUUAACCACAAUUUUCUACCAAGUAUAUUUAUGUUUGGUUUAAUAUCAGGUAAGUAGAGUUCUACUCUUAAUUAACUGAUAAUAGUAAGAAAAAUACCUGUUUUUAUUUUAUAAUAUUAAUUUUGUGAUUUCAAAAUGACUGCAGUAGUCACAGUCGUUUACAGCCAACAUUGUUUUCCGAGAGAAUAACACAAGUGAAAUCAACUAAAGAUAAUCAAGUCUUCUUUAUUCCAGACUCAGUCCAAUUCAGAAGUCGAGGAAAAAAACAUUGUACAGUUAAGAUAAAAUGAAAUGAGCACAAUAUGCCACGCCAGCACGAGACACAAAUAAUCAUGAAAAACUCCCUAAUCUAAACAGGCAUGUGUUUCCACAUUGAAAUCAGAGACUGUUGGAAAAACUGACUCAAGAAAAACUGGACAGCAAAGCAAAACUCGGGAACAAAAGAAACGACCUCUCCUCCGCCUAUGCUUGGAGAACACCCUUCCUCUCUAACAGAAUUGCAUGCACAGAAGCACCAGGUAAAGUUUAACCCCACCUCCCUCUAACCACCGUCCAUCAUCCAAUCAGGAUGUCCACAGAGCCUUUCCCUGUGGGGCAGCUUGUCUUUGAUCACAUCACUAUUUGCUUUACUGUUUAACUUUUCCCAUCCUCAUUUAAAGGCCCGCCCUAAUCUCACAUCGUGAAAUCUGAUUGCAGAUGCGAACAGCGACUUCUCGCUGUUCGAAGCGCUGAGGGCAGGGCCGGCCCAAGCCUUUGUGGGGCCCUGAACAGGUUUCCCUUGGGGGCCCCCCAUGGGUGUCGCACCCGUGGGGGAUUCAACACCCAAACUUUUCCAGCAGUUUUGUUCACCUGUUUAAGCACCUCGUGAUUUUUAUCUUGAGAGGCGCUAUAGAAAUGAUAUUUUCUUCGUUUCUUCUUCUUCACCUCCACACCAGUCUGGUUUCUCUACAUCACACUCACCCUGUUUGCCUCAUCUCCUUCUUCCCCUCCCUCUUCUGUUUCUCUGACAGUCAAUGUCGGGUUUAAGGAGAAACAGGAGAGGGAGGGAGGGAAGAGCUUGACUAAAUUCAUAAUUUUACAUCUUGACAUUAGCUGUACAAAGUGUGAGUUUGAUAAAAUGAAGAACAACAAUUUGCAGAGGUUUAUAACAGGCGCGGCGCCAGGAUUUCAUUUUUGGGUUGGCGGUAAUUUUGGACGGACCUUAAUAAGCAGUGACUCAAGUGAAGCAGGCAGGUCGCACUAGAAAAUUUCGUUUAAAAAGACGUCAUACAUUUCCCCCCCCGUCAUUUUUAUUUCUAAAAUAUGAAGUAAAAACUCCCAAUUAAAUUUUCAUUCAUUUUUCAUUUGGGGAUCCGGUUUGGGCUUAUUUUCACCUGCUGCUGAUGGACAGAUAAGCCUCUGCUACCAAAUCUCUUGUUCAAAUCUGGCUUUGUCUUCUUAGUUGUAGGAUUGGUUUGACUCAAUUUUUAAAAUGUUUUGUUUGUCUGUUAUGGAACCCCAUUCCUACGGAAGCGUAUUACCGUCAGUGCGGGGAAAAACCUCAGGACUAGUAUAUCGUAAUCACAAGAAAUGUUCUCGUUAAAACGUGAUAUAAAUAUCGUUUUAACGACAAAGUAUCUCGUUAUUACGAUACUUUCUUGUUAAAAUUAGAGACUUUCUCGUUAGAACGUGAUUUAUAUCACGUUUUAACGAGAUUUUUUUUUCGAAAUAACGUGCUCUAUAACUUGUAAUAAUGACAGGAAUAAUAACGGUAAAACGGCGACAUCUCGCGGGAUGUUUGAGUCUCGUCAGGAAGAAACGGAGGGAGAAGAGAUGGAGACUCCAAUGGAACCACUUUGUGCCUUUUUAAGUCAGCGUAACUUGUCUGAGGAAUGUAUUUCUGCAAUGAGGAGAGACAAAGUAGGUGACACAUUUUAGACGCUUACCUACCUGAAGUUAGAAUCGAUUUAACACAGUUCUAUGUUACUGAAUGUAUCUGCAGUGUGGUGUAACGUGAGGAAAUAUGGGUUUUCUGUCACAAAGGUGGUGUUGGACGCAGCUGGGUCAUAGCUGGGUCGCUGAGAACUUUCACCCACAGAUUAAGACCUGAACGCCAGCGAGUCUGGGAGGAAACCAUAACAUCUGCCACCUGCAGUCUACCAGAAGAUGUGUUUACAUGAGUUGUACCCAGACCAAGUCAAAACAUAAAGUUUAAACUUCUUUUUCGUGAUUUUAAUGUUAAAAUAACCAUUAUCAUUUUGCUCAUUAUAAAUGUGUUUAAUCAAAUGAAUGACUAGUAUGCUUUGGGGUAAUUAUAAUGGAUUAAUGAAUCCACACUUAAGUAGAUAAUGUUGAAUGUGUGGUACUGACCUUCACACUCAAGCACACAAACAUUCACACACACCCACACACAUCUGCCCACAGUAAACUCCAGACACAUUUGAUGACGCACAUGUUUUGCUUUGAGAAGAGAGGUUUUUGGUAAGUUUUCAGUUUUAUGAGGCAGUUCGUGUUGGACAACGGGAGAGAACAGACCUGAAAACCAAAGGGGGGGCAGAGCCUGUUGGCUCGUUCUUCCCCCCUUUCACGCUGUUUCUGCCAAGCCAGGCAGAAUAGCUGAAUCGCGACUUCUAACGAAGACUCAUUACCGAGUCUUUUGAUUUCUGAGUGAAUUAACUUAAGAAAGCGCAUCGAUAAAACGCUCUACCAUCCACGUGUACCGAGGGCAACUCUGGACCGGUUCCGUUCGACACCUACGUCUCCUGUCAGCCGCCGGUGUCAUCUGGAUGAACCACAACAUCCUCCACGGCCCGGAUCCGAAAGAGGGUCCACAAGAGUUCGGUGAGACAGAGCACGGUUUUAGCGUUUGAUGCAGUUCUCUGAUAAGACCUAAGUUUAUCCAAACCAUCACUUCACUCAGACACCUGUUUCUUCCUGAAGCAAAAUCAGACUCACACACGCAUUCAUGUCACAACAUUCUCAAUCUUCAUAAAUUCACCAGAAGGUCUAUUUGAGCAAGAACAGCAUAUAAACUGUUAAAAGAUUGUCCCACAAAGUUGCCAAUGUGAUUGUUAUUUCCUGUUUGUCAAUUUUCAAAAUCAUUAGUUUAAUUUGAAGAAUUAAAACUGUUAAUCCUUCAAA